rnacentral:pre_miRNA from 1 species
CUUAGGGCAAAUAGUGACUAGCCCGACUUGGGGAAAAAGAGAUCAACAUUUUGGGUAAAAUUAAAUUUGCUUCUUUUUAUCCAAAAACUUUUUACCGUGGGUAAAAAGAAUCUUCUUGGGGUAUAAAAAGAACCAGAUUUAGAUUUAUCCCAAUGUUAAUGAUUUCUUUUCCCUAAGAAGGUUGUUCACUAUUUGCUCCAAG